UUGUCCUUUACUAAAAUGUCUAUUUCUGUUACUUCUUCCUGCUGAACCUAUGAGAGGUGCGAACACAUCGCUGUUACUAAACGUGAAGACUGGAGUAGGCUAGCAGAGAAAAUGAAUACAUUACAGACAACUCCAAGCCAGGCACAGAGCUGGAUGCCAAAGGCCACUCGUGGACCAUGAUGCGCACGCUGACGGUUCCCAGACGCUGAUCUGCUGUUCAAGUAAAUGGAAAUUACUGAUUUACUUAAAGCAACUGGAACUCUGUAACUGAAAAUAUAAACCAGAUCAAUGAUACAAUCACAAGAGAGAAUCUGUUCUGCCACCCUGUAAUUUCCUCACAUCACUUAUUUUAUUCUCCUGUUUUAAGAAUUGUGUCUAUUAAAAAAUCACUCACAAAACUCACCAAACGUCCAUCUCUUUUAGCUCUGCCACUCAGAGCUGGAUGGGUUUUUAUUCACCCUCAAGUAGUUUAACAGAUCACCCAAAACUUUGCAUCUUCACUUCCUGAGUUUUUCUGGUUUCUGGGAAUUU